UGGGGAAUAUUGCACAAUGGGGGAAACCCUGAUGCAGCGACGCCGCGUGAGCGAUGAAGUAUUUCGGUAUGUAAAGCUCUAUCAGCAGGGAAGAUAAUGACGGUACCUGACUAAGAAGCUCCGGCUAAAUACGUGCCAGCAGCCGCGGUAAUACGUAUGGAGCAAGCGUUAUCCGGAUUUACUGGGUGUAAAGGGAGCGUAGGCGGUCCUGCAAGUCUGAUGUGAAAACCCGGGGCUCAACCCCGGGACUGCAUUGGAAACUGUAGGACUAGAGUGUCGGAGGGGUAAGUGGAAUUCCUAGUGUAGCGGUGAAAUGCGUAGAUAUUAGGAGGAACACCAGUGGCGAAGGCGGCUUACUGGACGAACACUGACGCUGAGGCUCGAAAGCGUGGGGAGCAAACAGG
rnacentral:rRNA from 1 species